GCCAGGUUCAGUGGCUCAUGCCUUUAAUCCCAGCUACUUGGGAGGCUGAGGCAGGAGAUUUGCAAGUUCCAGGCCAGCUUCUGCAAUUUAGCAAGACCCUGCUUCCA
rnacentral:sRNA from 1 species